UACAGAGGUCUCAAGCGUUGUUCGGAUUCAUUGGGCGUAAAGGGUGCGUAGGCGGCGCGGUAAGUCGGGUGUGAAAUCUCGGAGCUUAACUCCGAAACUGCAUUCGAUACUGCCGUGCUUGAGGACUGGAGAGGAGACUGGAAUUUACGGUGUAGCGGUGAAAUGCGUAGAUAUCGUAAGGAAGACCGAGUGGCGAAGGCG
rnacentral:rRNA from 1 species